rnacentral:misc_RNA from 1 species
AACGAGGCCGACCUGCGGCUGAGUUACCUGCGGAAGGAUCAUUACAAGUGACCCCGGUCUAACCACCGGGAUGUUCAUAACCCUUUGUUGUCCGACUCUGUUGCCUCCGGGGCGACCCUGCCUUCGGGCGGGGGCUCCGGGUGGACACUUCAAACUCUUGCGUAACUUUGCAGUCUGAGUAAACUUAAUUAAUAAAUUAAAACUUUUAGCAACGGAUCU